GAGAGUAUAGCUCAGUGAUAGAGCAUGUGCUUGUCAUGCACAAGGUCCUGGGUUCACUCCCCAGGCCCUCC
rnacentral:tRNA from 1 species